CAAACAACCAAACAGAGGAGGAAAAGGAAGAACUGGAUGAUUUCCUCCAGAAGAGGGCAGUCAUGCACCAUUAUGGAUGCUGACUGCCGGAAUGCCAUCAAGUCAACUUUGACGGCAUUUCGUGUUAGAUUAUCGAUUAUUUCAUACUGAUAACAUGAUUACAUGAGUAGUAGUUUUGUUGAUUUCUUUGCUUUAACUCGUUGGUGUUUUUUUUUUUUUUUAAUUUUGACAAUGAGUGACUCACAAUGUAGCGAGAGCGAACUAGAAAAUUUUUAUGAUACAGAGAAAGAAGAGGAGGAAGAAGAAGGCAAUAAUACAAGACGCCAAGAACCUCCAGUUUCAGACCGCCAAAAACAUCUGGAGUGCUUUCAGCCACUUAUGAAUUCAUGUGGGUAUCGAGUGGACAAGCUCCUGGGGCGAGGUGGCUUCGGAUUUGUUUAUCAGUGCAUCAGAUCAGAUUCAGAUGAACUUGUGGCUCUAAAAAUAAUCCACAGUAAAAACUCUGGCAUUGGUGUACAAGAAGUACGCAACCUGGAACAAAUCCGGGAGUUGGACCCAGAAAUGAAUAACUUUAUCAGGUUAAACAGACAUUUUGAGCUGGAUGGUCAUAUUUUUCUGGAAUUUGAAAAACUGGAUAUAAAUGUCGACAACUUGGUUGAGAGACACGGGUCUCUUCACCUUGCCGACAUUCAAGUCAUCACUCAGCAGGUGGUGGUGGCCCUCGAAGCUCUGAACAGCAUAAGGAUGGUUCACGCGGACAUAAAGCCGGAGAAUAUAAUGCUCGUGGAUCAAAAGCAAAAACCCUAUAAGAUAAAGCUGAUAGAUUUUGGAAUUGCUUGUCAUGUGUCCAAACUAAAAUGUGGGGACAUUAUUCAUAUACUGGAGUACCAGGCCCCUGAAGUGUCGCUAGGUAUUCCUGUGAACGAGGCCAUAGAUAUGUGGGCUCUUGGCUGUGUCGUUGCAUUCAUGUACAUCUCGGAAGACCUGUACACGGGGAGUUGUGAACUGGGGAAGAUGGAGGAGGUAGUGCAGUGGCACGGCCAACCUAACGAUCGCUUACUGAAUAUGGGCCUGUACACCAAGGACUACUUUGACAGAGUCUACGAUUCCUCAGGUUCUGCGUGGAAACUGAAAACAAACUGCAGUUGCACACUGCAGUCCACGUCAAAGACACCAGUCCACCAGCCAGUCCGUGAUGUCACGGCAAAACAAUUUACCAGCCUUGAUGACAUUGUUACGACUCGCCCUGGAACUGCUGAGCUCGAGGACACCAAAACCUUUUUAAGCUUCCUAAAACAGUUGUUGCAUAUCGAUCCGUCAAAAAGAAUCAAGCCCAGGGAGGCUUUGAAACAUCCAUUCAUGACCUGGAAAAGAUUUCCCAGUGAUCUCAUUUUUGAGUCGUCUGCUAGAAAAAAGAAACUGCCGCAAACGGAAGAUAAUGCUGCACCUGUGGACAAGAAAUCACCUCAAUCCACUACCAAAAAUGUUAUUUCAAGCUCUGUAUUUACUGCUGCUGACAUCGCUAAAGCCAGCUCGGAAGACGCAACUCCGACCGAACCGUCAUCUGCCUCCACUGGUUAUGUUUCUGUUGUGGACCACAGUGACACUGAUGAGGAAUCUGCAGGUUGGACCAACAUAAAACCAAAGAAAAUAUAUUUUAAAAGGAUUUCUAGAUUCCUCACACAUCUGUUCAAGAGGGGAGAACCAUGCUGUGAGUCUCCGGGUGAUGAUGAAACUACAGCGUCAACUAGUAAACUGCAACCACAUCCCGCUUCCAUUACUUCCCGUCAACAAUCUAAGAUUCCAAGCAAUGGAAUCCCUGCUGUUGAGACUUCUCUUACCACUGAUAAAACACCAAGUUUGACAGGAGUCAGAACUAAGAAAACGUACUUCAAGAGGCUUUCCGGAUUCUUCUCACAGCUGUGCAAGAAAAGAACAGCUAGUAGCUGUGUGAAGAAACCAACUUCUAGAGCAACCAUUAACAUCAUUUCAAGUGGUCCGUUUCCUACGGAAAGUCUUGCAACUGUUGCUGGCAGCGCUAGUUACGGCUCUGCUGGUGACAAGAUUGGCGCAGAAGAGGAAGCGACAGAUUAUACUGAAGUCAAAACCAAGAGGAAGUACUUGAAGAGGAUGUCCAGAUUCCUCUCACCGCUGAUCAAGACCAUAACGUGCUGCAGAAAGGACAAAAUUGAAGUCAAGUGCUGUAAAACGUCAUCACCAGCCAACCAACCGGAUGUCACAGAGUCACUUGUCGAUAUAUAGAAACACUGCUCUGAACACAUUGGUUCUAAACAAAGAGGCCCCCAGUGCAAACUUUUGUUUGACAGAUAUGGGCUGCGCCUCUAGGAUCGGGCACCACAGCUUGAUGGUGAUACAGUUCCUUCGUCGUGGUUAUCUCGGUGAGCCGUUCCUGUGAACUACCAUUUCACUGGCAUUGUCUUGCUGUAUUUGGAUUGCAGUGCUGCACAGGGUUGCGCUGGUACGCGACCCACUCUUUAAGCUGCGGAGACAGAGACAGUUUAUGAAGGAUUCCAGGUGACUGCAACAUGUCCAGCACCGUCUCAUGCUCCGGCUCCUGUUCAUCCACCUUCUGCCGCUGUUGCUCCUACACAGUCCCAGGGACCCGGCCUCAUGGCACAGAUGGCGACCACUGCAGCGGGGGUGGCUGUGGGCUCAGCAGUGGGCC